GGGAUUCAAUUCGCUUUGCAGGAGCCGGGGGGGCCGGGGCAGCCGCCCCUCAACCUGCCUUCCUGGAGGUGCUGAGCGAGUUCUCGCCACGGCUGCUGCGCCCCGACAGGGCUCUGCUGCUGGCGUACCUGGAGCGGCUGUGCCAGGAGCGGGGGGUGGCCGCCCCCCCGGGCCGCGCCGUGGCCCCCCCUGCUCACCUACGGCCACUCGCUGCAGCCGCAGGACGAGGGGGGGUCCCUGAGCUCGGCCCCCCCGUCGCGGGGCCCCCCCGCUUCCAGCGCCAAGAGACCCGAAUGGACGCCCCCCCGAGGCGCUCGGCUUCAGCCCCUGGCCCAGCAGCCGCCCCCCCAGCCCGGCUUUCACCUCCACGGCGCUUCGGGGGGGGGCCCCGACCCCCCCCUGCGGGACCUGAGCUCCGACCGGGGGCUCCUGCCCAGCAGCUCCUUGUCCCAGCGCAGUGGGAUGACCCGGU